UGCUUUUUUCAAGCCUUUUCGUGGUGAUUAUGCUUCUUUAAAACCCAGAAAUAGUUGAAGACACGCUAAAAUUAUUAUGAAUUUCAAGGAACCAAAGAUCUAACAUCUUUGUCUCUUGAAAAGAACAACGAACUCCCGAUCUGUGUUGAGGCACAUCCAACACUACAGGACACGCUGAAAUUGAUGAUGAUGCUCAAGGUAAUGUUCUUGAUAAUAUAUUUCAACAUCUUUAUGUAACUCAAAUUCCCAAUAUCUGCAUUUAUCAUUCCCAUCUUCCUAUUACAAUUUUUUGGCGUUCUGUUUUCUGCAAGGAGCCAAAAAGGGCUUAAUAAUCUGUCUUCUAGAAAACACAACAAACACUCGAUCUCUGUUAUGAUAUGGAUGCGAAUUGGUUUAAUGAUCUAUUUGAUGACGAGUAUGACAAUGUUAUGAAUAAUGUUGUUCGGUAUGUUUCAAAUGGUUUUAGUGGUACAAGUACUGGAAGUGGUUUUGGAUGCAGUAGCGGUGCUGGUAAUGGAAACAAUACAGAUGUCAACGACGAUGAUGAAAAUAAACACGAUGAUGAUGAGGAAGGCGAUUUGUUUUGGCUUAGAGAGUCUGAUCGCAAUAAACUAUUUUUAUGCAUGGCUAGAGCACUUGCUUUGUAUUAUAAUAAUUAUAUUUAUAAAGAACCAUGUAUAGUUUCAUACAAUACAUGAAUGAGAUGGUUGAAUGAAAUUUUAAA